GAUGAACGCUGGCGGCGUGCCUAAUACAUGCAAGUAGAACGCUGAAGGAGGAGCUUGCUCUUCUGGAUGAGUUGCGAACGGGUGAGUAACGCGUAGGUAACCUGCCUGGUAGCGGGGGAUAACUAUUGGAAACGAUAGCUAAUACCGCAUGACAACAGUUAUUGCAUGAUAACUGUUUAAAAGGGGCAACUGCUCCACUACCAGAUGGACCUGCGUUGUAUUAGCUAGUUGGUGAGGUAACGGCUCACCAAGGCGACGAUACAUAGCCGACCUGAGAGGGUGAUCGGCCACACUGGGACUGAGACACGGCCCAGACUCCUACGGGAGGCAGCAGUAGGGAAUCUUCGGCAAUGGACGGAAGUCUGACCGAGCAACGCCGCGUGAGUGAAGAAGGGUUUCGGAUCGUAAAGCUCUGUUGUAAGAGAAGAACGAGUGUGAGAGUGGAAAGUUCACACUGUGACGGUACCUUACCAGAAAGGGACGGCUAACUACGUG
rnacentral:rRNA from 1 species